rnacentral:rRNA from 1 species
GAUGAACGCUGGCGGCGUGCCUAAUACAUGCAAGUCGAGCGAACAGACGAGGAGCUUGCUCCUCUGACGUUAGCGGCGGACGGGUGAGUAACACGUGGAUAACCUACCUAUAAGACUGGGAUAACUUCGGGAAACCGGAGCUAAUACCGGAUAAUAUAUUGAACCGCAUGGUUCAAUAGUGAAAGACGGUUUUGCUGUCACUUAUAGAUGGAUCCGCGCCGCAUUAGCUAGUUGGUAAGGUAACGGCUUACCAAGGCAACGAUGCGUAGCCGACCUGAGAGGGGGAUCGGCCACACGGGGACUGAGACACGGGCCAGACUCCGACGGGAGGCAGCAGUAGGGAAUCUUCCGCAAUGGGCGAAAGCCUGACGGAGCAACGCCGCGUGAGUGAUGAAGGUAUUCGGAUCGUAAAACUCUGUUAUGAGGGAAGAACAAAGGUGUAAGUAACUGUGCACAUCUUGACGGUACCUAAUCAGAAAGCCACGGCUAACUACGUG